GUAGCUCUUAUACUAGUCAUUGAUUUAACUAUUUACUUAGUUCCUUAGACAGUUAGCUAUUUAUCUGUUUAACCAUUAAUUUUUUUCAUAUUUAUAUUUUUACAACCUUUCUGCCUAUUUUGAUUAAUUUACUUAACUUGUUUAUGUUGUCUACUCCAUUAAAUAGUUCAAAUCCGCAUAUCUUUCAUAAUGGAUAAAUUUACCAUAAACGAAAUGAAUGAGCAAAAGUUAGAAGAAAUAAAAAAUAAAGGAAAUGAUUUAUUUAAAAAUAAGAAAUAUGCAGACGCACUGGAUGCUUAUCUGAAUAUACUUUCACUGAUUUGUAACGAUGCGGUAGAUUCGAAAAACAUAAAAAAAGUUGUAAAUUUUUUUCAAAAGCAAAACAUAGCAAACACUGUUCCAGAAUCGAGUAACGAAGUAACAAAAACCACAGAAAGUACAGCAAAUGAAAAGAACAAAAUGGAAAACAAUAGUUGUCACUUAGCUGAUUAUAUUAAUAUUAAAAACAUAUUCAUAAAGGUUUGUCAUAAUAUAUCAUUAUGUUACUAUUUUUUAGAGCAGUUUAACAAAGCCAUUGAAUACUGUUUAUAUAUUAACGAAACCGAUAAGGAUCACUUUAAGAGUUUUCACACGUUAGGUUUGUGUUACGAACAGUUAGAGGAUUAUAAAAAGUGUAUUAUCUAUUUUGAUAGGUGUAAGUCUAUACUAUUAAAUGAAAAGACGAAUAAAAACGACAACACAAGUGGCGCUACCGGUAUCAGCACAAACCACAAAAAAAAAAAUACAGAAGUAAAUAGAAUUAAUGAGAAAAUAAAAAAAAUAAUGAAACUAAUUGAAGAAAAAAAUAAUGUGAACAGUAGUGACGUUAACAACAGUAGUAAUAGUAACAUUUCUGUAGAUACCAUUAAAAUCGUUUUAUGCGAUGAAAAAUCAAGUGAAGAAGAUAAAAUUAAAAUGCUACACUGCAUUUAUAAUCAAAAAAUUUAUAUAUUAUUGAAAGAAAAUAUAUUUCAGUUUAUAUUUGAUUUAUUAAUUAAAAAGAAUAUUAGUAUAGCCAUAGAACAAAAUUGUAUUUUUUGUAUAUAUAAGAUUUUGUCUAUUUUAGAAGCAGAAAGUUUACAAAUAGAAAAAGAAAAAGCUUCUAACAACUCUUACAAUGCUCGUAUUUGUAUUAACCGGUUAGAUAACGUACAAUUUCAAUAUUAUUAUAAUCCUGAUUUUAUUAAACUUUUAGUAUCUUUUAAUAAUAUAUAUGAUGAAAAAUGGAUAACUAAUUAUAUAAAAAGUAAGAAUGAGAAAUUGGAGAAUUAUAAAUUUACAAAAGAGGAAAAAAACUAUAAAAAUACCAUAAAUAUAUUAAUGUAUAUAAUUAAUAUUUUAAAAUAUGUAUAUUCCAUAGAUAAUGAACAAGUAUUAAAAAUAAUUAAUUCUUAUUAUAUAAAUAAUGAUAUUAACGAAAUAGCUUUUAGUGGUUUAUAUGCGAUCAUUUUUUUAUGUAAAAAAAAACAGUUUUUUAUUGCAGGUACAGCUAAAAAAGGAAGCGUUACAAAAAAUGGCAUAAACCCUAUUGUAAACAGUACUAACAACACUAUUGGUGUCAAUAGAAGACUAUUUUUAGAAACAUUAAAAACGGAACAUAAUGUUGACAUAACAAAUAAUGUUAUCGUUUUUCACUUUUCAGAUCCGUAUAAAUAUCCUGUAUGCAUAAACAUAGAAAUAAAAAAAUUUAUUCAAACUUGUGUAUCUUUGUAUGAUUAUUUACCAGAAGAUGUAGAAUAUGCUUUAGUUUUGUUAUUUACUUUAUUGUAUGAUAAAAAUAGACCAUCAGAAAAAGACACCGAUAUGAAUGAUAUGAUAUAUGAGUAUGUAGAUUCAUAUUUCCAUGCAAAUAAAAUAAAUAUCGAGUGGUUUAUUUAUGUGAAAUGCUUUUUUUUGGUUGAUAAAAAUAUUAUAUUAAAUUAUCUUAUAGGUAAAAAUGAAUAUAUAUUGCAAAUUUUAAAUUGUAUUAAUAAUGCCAUAGGAAGAGAAAAUACAAAAUAUACCGACCUUUCUAUUGAUGUGUUGUUGCUGAUACUUGAUAUAUCAGAGUUGCGUUUAAUGUUAAAUGAUUACAUCGAUUUAUAUGUAAAAAUUAUUAAAACGUUAAAUUAUGACAGAAAUUUUUUAAAACUACUAAUCGGGUCUUUUAAAUUAUACAUGCAUAGCAUAGAUUUUAAAAAGGUUGUUGCAAAUAAUAUAGAUUUGUUUUUUUAUUCUAAAGAAAUGGUAAACGAGUUUCUUUUAAAUUACGACCAAGGGACAAUAAAAGAUAGUAAUGUAAAAGGUACUACUAUUAAAACUAAUAGACAACAAGUAAAUAAUUUGACUAAUGAAAAAAUAGAGCAUGUAAAGUUAUCAAUGACAGGUGAAUGUGCUAAUGAUGUUGAUAAUGGUUGCUUAGUUCGAGAAGUGGGAUUACAUGUUACGGCAGCAACAUCAGCUGUAGCAGAAACUACAACAGAUGAAACCCACGUACAAAACAAUAUAGAGGAUCCAAAUGCAAACAAAAGUAACAAUGGGGAUAAAGAAAAGUGUUCACAACUUAUGGAUGACAAAAAAGCAAUUGAAACAAAUUAUAACAUUAAAUAUGAUGACGGCUUACUAAAAAAUAUGAUAGAAAUGCUAUUUUAUCUUAGUUUACACAUAGAAUUUAAAAAGGAGUUGUUAAAAGAAGAAAACAGUUAUAUUUUAUUUUUUUUAAUUAAAAUAGGAGAUGAUAUAAAUAAAAAAAAAUUAGAUAAUACAUAUAAAUAUAUUUAUUGCAAUACUAUAUAUAAUUUAAUUUUAACAAGAACAGAUGAGAAAAUGCGAAAACGAGAAAUUAAUAAGGCCAAUCUAGCAAAUUUUGAUCAUGAACAAAUAGAAGCUUUAGAACAAUUUUACGAUAAAUUACAUGGAACAGCAAAAACGAAAUUAGAUCCAUUAUAUGAUUAUGGGGAUGAAGAAACAAGUAAUAAAAUAAUAUCGCUAUUAUUAUAUACUGAAAAAUAUCCGAUGAAUAUAAUUGGAAAUAAAACAAAUACAACAACCAAUAAAAACACACUUGCAACAUAUAAUUACAAAAAUGGUUCUAUUAUUAAUAUUAUUUACAAUUUUAUUAACACUAGUUUUUUUACUACAAAUAUUGCAGAAGCUAUAUGUGAUAUCAUAUCAAAAUUUGUAAAAAAUUAUAACAACAUAGGUAUUGUAUUAGUUAAUAAUGGGUUAAAAUCAUUAUUAUUAGCUUCUAAACAUAUUUGUAAAAAAAAAAAUUGUGCAUUAGCGCUAAGUGAAAUAUUUAUAUAUACAAACCCUAAAUUAAUUCAUUUUUAUGAAGCAUAUGAUUCUUUAUCUUUACUAAUUGAUGAGCUAAAUGAUGAUGAAGAAAUAGUAGUCUUUAAAUGUUUAAUGGCCAUCACCAAUAUACUAACUGUGGACGAAAAUAUAGGGAAAAAAGCAAUGCAACUAAAACUAUGGACUAAAUGUUUUGAAACUUUAUCAUCAGAAAAUGAGCAUAUAAAAUUGGCUUCUUUAGAAUGUAUUUGUAAUUUGUGUUCACAAGUAUAUGUACAUCAAUAUAUCUAUGAUAA
rnacentral:lncRNA from 1 species